GCCCAGCCGUAAACAAUUAACUUACACCACCAACGCCAGGGAAUUACGAGCUAUGCUUAAAACCCAAAGGACUUGACGGUGUCCCAUCCCCCUAGAGGAGCCUGUUCUAUAAUCGAUGAUCCCCGCUAUACCCAACCAUUCCUUGCUCCCAGUCUGUAUACCUCCGUCGAAAGCCUACCCUGUGAACGCAAAGUAAGCCUAAUGACCCUCCCCAAUACGUCAGGUCAAGGUGCAGCUCACGGAGUGGAAAGUAAUGGGCUACAAUUUCUAACAUAGAACAAACGAAAGACCAUGUGAAACCGUGGUCACUAAGGUGGAUUUAGUAGUAAAAAGAAAAUAGAGUGUUCUUUUUUAACCCGGCUCUGGGACGCGUACACACCGCCCGUCACCCUCUUCAACAGCUUUACUUCACGUUCAUAACUCCCUACCCGCACCUUAGAAGAGGCAAGUCGUAACAUGGUAAGUGUACUGGAAAGUGCACUUGGACUACAACAAAAUAUAGCUUUAA
rnacentral:rRNA from 1 species